GUAACAUUACUCACACCAACUAACGCCAGGGAACUACGAGCCAUGCUUAAAACCCAAAGGACUUGACGGUGUCCCAUCCACCUAGAGGAGCCUGUUCUAUAAUCGAUGAUCCCCGCUAUACCUUACCCCUUUUUGCUUUCUCAGCCUGUAUACCUCCGUCGAAAGCCUACCAUAUGAACGUGUAUAGUAGGCUCAAUGAUUAUAUUUACAUCAAAACGUCNGGUCAAGGUGCAGCUCACGAAGUGGUGAGAAAUGGGCUACAGUUUCUAAUAUAGAACAAACGGAAGGUUAUGUGUAACCAUAAUCAUGAAGGCGGAUUUAGUAGUAAGAAGAAAAUAGAGUGUUCUUCUUAACCCGGCUCUGGGACGCGU
rnacentral:rRNA from 1 species